rnacentral:rRNA from 1 species
UACGUAGGUGGCAAGCGUUGUCCGGAUUUACUGGGCGUAAAGAGCGCGCAGGCGGUCGUCCAAGUCGAAUGUGAAAGCCCCCGGCUCAACUGGGGAGGGUCAUUCGAUACUGCCGUGCUUGAGGACUGGAGAGGAGACUGGAAUUUACGGUGUAGCGGUGAAAUGCGUAGAUAUCGUAAGGAAGACCAGUGGCGAAGGCGGGUCUCUGGACAGUUCCUGACGCUGAGGCACGAAGGCCAGGGGAGCAAACGGG